UAGGGAAUCUUCGGCAAUGGACGAAAGUCUGACCGAGCAACGCCGCGUGAGUGAAGAAGGUUUUCGGAUCGUAAAACUCUGUUGUUAGAGAAGAACAAGGACGUUAGUAACUGAACGUCCCCUGACGGUAUCUAACCAGAAAGCCACGGCUAACUACGUGCCAGCAGCCGCGGUAAUACGUAGGUGGCAAGCGUUGUCCGGAUUUAUUGGGCGUAAAGCGAGCGCAGGCGGUUUCUUAAGUCUGAUGUGAAAGCCCCCGGCUCAACCGGGGAGGGUCAUUGGAAACUGGGAGACUUGAGUGCAGAAGAGGAGAGUGGAAUUCCAUGUGUAGCGGUGAAAUGCGUAGAUAUAUGGAGGAACAACAGUGGCGAAGGCGGCUCUCUGGUCUGUAACUGACGCUGAGGAUCGAAAGCGUGGGGAGCAAACAGG
rnacentral:rRNA from 1 species